AGAUGGAAACGAUUUCGUUUAUCUACCCUGUCUGUAUAAAUACGAAAAAUAUUUCAACGCACAAGUAGUUUGCCAAACAUACCACUCUAAGAAGUAUUAAAAUAACAAGAGAAAAAAUACAAAUAAUUUGAAUAAAUUCUAAGAUUCCGAAGGACAUCUUAGAGAUAAAAGUAUUGUUUGCGAAUUUUUUGCUAAUUAAUUCAAAUUUUUCAAUCGCAAGUUAAACUCGACAAUGAUGAUGAUGAGUGUUAAGUACAUAAAUUUGAUUUGCAUUGCGUUGAUUUGUGUGCAAAGUUACGGUGGUUUUGUGGUCUGUGGACGUUAUUUACCAACCCGAGGAAAUGCCGAUAACCUUGAUCGACUGCGUGAAUUGUUAAGAGAUAUUCUCGAAACUGAUGUUGAAAAAGUAUCUGUGGAAACACCGCCUCAAUCAGUCGCACUGAAUCGAUACGAGGGCCUGAAUGCGUUGAACGAUGACUUCAAUUUUGGAAUACCGAAACACACACAACAUAAAAAUGCUCGGCUAGUCUUCAAGCGUAGCAUCCACAACAACUUGCUGAAGAAUAAGCGAAAUUUCUGAUUUCUACAUCGAUUUUCUACGUGAAGUCGUCAAUUUACAUCACAUAUUAAAUAAAUAAAUUUGAUCGCGCUUCUAAAAAAGUAUGAAUAAAUAUUGUGAUCGACAUAAUUGCAUUCAAAUGAAUUAAAAGUGAUAAUCCCAUUGGCUGGAUGGGAGCCUUUUACAUAUUAUGGAAAGAGAUAAUUAUUUAUCGUU